GAUGUGGCUGACGAUUACAAUCAACAUCUCACUGAUGUAUUUUUGGCAGAUUGUGAACAAUCAACUGAAUUGGAUAAGGGCCAUGCUGAUCACAAAAGUUUUGUAUCAGGAAAAGAGGAACCCUCAAGUAAAAAA